CCUUAUCUUUUCAGUUCUAUCUUCCCAAGUUAGGAAGGAAACAUAACUUUUUUUUUUCAUUUUCUUCCAUUUUCCUCAACUCAACAGUCUCAUCAUCUCUGAUUCUCUUUACAACUAACCCUAUUCUUCACCUUUUAAUCUCUUCUUAGUGGUAAGUUAGGUUCGUUUUGUGCUCGUACUCGGCGGUGGAUCAUCUUUUACCGGUGGGUUUAUGGCUUUGUUUUUGGAAUUAGAUUCAUUCUUUUUGAUUAUUUUUUAUGAUGGAUCUUUUUUAAUUUUGGAUUAUGUUAACGGGGUUUUCUUGAUUUUGUUUUGUUCUCUUGUAGCUACGGCUUUAGAUUAUGUUAUGGACUUGGUUUUGUUUAAGUAGGUAAAAAUUUAAGAUCUAUUUAAUAUUUGAUUUUUCUUUCAGCUUCCUUUGUAGUUAAAGUGCUUGUUUUUUUGUCUGAAUGAAAAAUUUAAAAGUUGCAGUAUUGUUGGUUCACUAUUGUGAGGUUCUUAGAAAUUAACUCUGAAUUCUAACAAGAUCUACGAACUGAAAAUGCCUAUAUAUUGAGUAAUGCUAGAAAAUAAGUACAACCAUGGAUAGUUAAUUUAUGGAUAUGCUCUUCUGUACAUCUAUAAUCGUGGAAUUGUCAUUUUAUUUCUAAUGUGUCUGUUGUUGGGCUCUUUCUAUAAGGUUGUUUACCACUGUUUUUGUUGUUAUUGCUUAAGCACAUGUGCACAUCACAACUAUGGAUAUUUAAUUUAUGGAUUUGUCUUUACUGAACAAUAAAUUUCAGUCUCUCUUCUCGGCUAGUUCAUAUUUUACUUACUUUACGAGGUGAGGAUUUAUAGAUUUCUAGCUUAAAUUAAUGUCCUGCUUCAAAUUGGCUAGAGUUGUGGUGGGUGUCUUUCUUGGAAUCGACUAGCUUGGUUUAAUAUUUAUGUUAUGGAUGCAAUGACUGGACUUGUGUAGCUUGUGCCAAUAGUAAUGGUUAUAAGCCUAUAAACCUAUAACAUUCUGCUAGUUCAUUUUUAAUGACUCGAAAAGAUACAUCUGACUGAAUUGACCUUUUAGAUUUUCUUUUAGGUUCAUAAAAUGUCUGGUAUUUGGGCUCUCUUUGAAUUGGUAGAACAAGCUGAUAGUUCAGUAAAGGCGGUGUGCAAGGUUUGUGGCCAGAAAUAUUCUUAUGAUAGUCACAAAGGUGGCACUUCAACUUUGUCAAGGCAUAAGUGCCCUAGGCGUGAAAAGCAAGAUGUGGGACAAAUUUUAUCUGGAAAGAGUGGACAAGUGUCUACUCGUGCACGCAAAAUAGAUCAGAUGAAGUUCCAGGAGCUUUCAAGAAAUCUUCCAUCAAGUUUAGUGGAAUUGCCAGAAUUUAGGGACUUGUGUACCUAUCUAAAUGAUUUUGUUAAAUCCUCCACACUGAUGAAUGAUGAAUUGGUGCACACGGUUCGGUUCUUGCCGAGACCGAUUACCUGUACCUCCCACCCUUCGGUUCCUAAAAAUUGGACCGGUACUGAGUACUUCGGUUCCGGUUCCAUUCGGUACCGGUCGGUUCCGAUACCGGUUCCGGUUCCAUUUUCAGAAAAAAAAAAAAAAAAA